GAAUGCUUUGAGGAAUGCCAAAAGAACAUCAGUUUGAAGUAUCGUGGUUGCUUCGCAAAUUACUACAAAAUUGUAGGAAAUGAAAAAAUCUGCGGUGAUAAAGUGAGGAAAGUUAUGAAGUUACAAGAGAGAUAAUUGACAAGCGUGAAGAAAAACUCCACCCUAUCUGCUUCCCCCUACCAAUGCGCUACCAGUUCAUUGAUGUAGUAGUAAACAUGAAUGGAAUGGAAACAACGACUUAUACAUAUAGCCCUAAAUUUCAG